CAAGUGACUGCAGGUCUACUUAUUUCAUGUAGAAGAAGAAGUGAAGGGCAUACAUUUAUGUGAACUCAACAAACUCCUUCACUGAGGAAAGACAUUUUGCCAACGUGAUUUGCAGGCAUUGAUUCCCCAGUGUUGUGUUUUCAGUUUCACAAGUAAUAGUUACACCUGUUGAAGAUUUCAAAAUGGACAAUAUAUAGAUUCCAGGUAUUUAAAUCGUCCAAGUUCUUUGCAACUUUCAACAUCUCAGACAGAUUGGAAAGUGGUUUCACCUGUGGAAUUGCAAGAGGGUGAGGCAGUUUGUCUGGACCUCCACCUGGACAUCAAGGAGAAAGAUGAACUCUCGUCUCCAUCUGCUCAGCAGUCCACCUUUUGGAACGCUCUUCUGUUCAUGUCGAGCUCUUGGCCUCUUUCUUCUCGACUGAUGAUCAGCCAGAUAACAUUACCUCCUGACCAAUCCGACGCCUGGAUCCGUACGUCAUCCCACAGGACAGCUGAAGACAUGAAAGGCAAGAGAGAGGGGGA